UAUGAUGAAAACAUUUUAUUACAGUGACACCACAACAUAGUUUGCUCACAUGAUAAUACUGAAUACCUGGUGAAGUAUAUUGACCCAGUCCUAGGACUGGGUCAAACUGAUUAAUUCAGUUCUUGGACUGGAUCAAAAAUAAUUUAUUCAAAUCCUUCAAUUCGGGCUGGGCCAGAUUCCAAGUCAUUGCAUUUGAUGGCAUUAUCAGACUAGUUACACGGUUGUUCUAACAAGUCUGAUACAGUCAUGAUAUAACAAGAAUGUUACAAGUUUGACGACACAAAGUUGUAACAAUAGGGCCAUUUAUACGGAACAAAAUAAGACGCGACUUAGAUAAGACGCGACUUAAGUAAGACGCGAGUUUGUGGUAUAAAAGGUACAAAAUUCUUAUGUAAGACGCGUCUUAUCCAAGACGCGUCUUACAUAAGAACUGGGGCCGAUUGUAUAAAAAAGUGAUUAAAGUUAACUAUAGUUAGUGGAAACGUCAUCCAAUAAAAAGCGCGUAUUUGAGAGUUAAUCACUAUUUAACUACAAAAUAGUGAUUAAAAAAGUGAUUAAGAGUUUUAUACAACGGCCCCUGGUUAUUUCAGCAGCGAACGAAAAAGAGUUAACUACUUUUUAACUGCAGUUAGCGCUAACUACGUUUUUAUACAACCGGCCCUAGGUCCCUAACUGCAGGAAAAAUAUGUGCA